rnacentral:rRNA from 1 species
AGGACGAACGCUGGCGGCGUGCUUAACACAUGCAAGUCGAGCGGAAAGGCCCUUCGGGGGUACUCGAGCGGCGAACGGGUGAGUAACACGUGAGUAAUCUGCCCCUAGCUCUGGGAUAGCUCCGGGAAACCGGGAUUAAUACCAGAUACGACCACUUUAGACAUCUCUUGUGGUGGAAAGAUUUCGGCUGGGGAUGAAUUCGCGGCCUAUCAGCUUGUUGGUGAGGUAACGGCUCACCAAGGCGACGACGGGUA